rnacentral:rRNA from 1 species
AACGAACGCUGGCGGCAGGCUUAACACGUGCAAGUCGAACGGUCUCUUCGGAGGCAGUGGCAGACGGGUGAGUAACGCGUGGGAAUCUACCUAGUUCUACGGAACAACAGUUGGAAACGACUGCUAAUACCGUAUACGCCCUACGGGGGAAAGAUUUAUCGGAAUUAGAUGAGCCCGCGUAAGAUUAGCUAGUUGGUGGGGUAAUGGCCUACCAAGGCGACGAUCUUUAGCUGGUCUGAGAGGAUGAUCAGCCACACUGGGACUGAGACACGGCCCAGACUCCUACGGGAGGCAGCAGUGGGGAAUAUUGGACAAUGGGCGCAAGCCUGAUCCAGCCAUGCCGCGUGAGUGAUGAAGGCCUUAGGGUUGUAAAGCUCUUUCAGUGGGGAAGAUAAUGACGGUACCCACAGAAGAAGCCCCGGCUAACUUCGUGCCAGCAGCCGCGGUAAUACGAAGGGGGCUAGCGUUGUUCGGAUUUACUGGGCGUAAAGCGCACGUAGGCGGAUUGGUCAGUUAGGGGUGAAAUCCCAGAGCUCAACUCUGGAACUGCCCUUAAUACUGCCAGUCUAGAGUCCGGAAGAGGUAAGUGGAACUCCUAGUGUAGAGGUGGAAUUCGUAGAUAUUAGGAAGAACACCAGUGGCGAAGGCGGCUUACUGGUCCGGUACUGACGCUGAGGUGCGAAAGCGUGGGGAGCAAACAGG